CUUACACCUUUAUACCAGAAGUUUAAUCAUACGUCAACAGGAUUAGGCAGGACGUACACCAUAAAUUCUUAAGCCCAAUUGUAAUCGUAUACUUUCGAUUAAUGUGGACUCUCAGCGCGGUGGCCGACAUGGCCACCACGUCAAGAAGACGUGACAAAUCUCUAACCGCCGACUCCCCGAAUGGCCUGAAUGGGUCCUAUCUGCAUAUUUUUCCGAGCAGGGAUGGCUGUGGAUAGAAUAGUCUACCAUGAAGCACACAUUCUUCUGUAGCACUUUUUUAAAUCUAUACGGACAUGUAUCUAGUAUUGACAUAUAAAUAGUGCUUAAAGUUCUCAUAAUCUGCGGAAUGGUCGAUCGUAGAGAUCACUUUGAGUUAUUCAAAUGUUACUUCAGAAAAUUUAGUUCACAAUACGUGGUUCAGUUUACGUUUUAAGUGUGUUGUCAUAACACAUUGAUUAUAUCAACAUAGUCACUAACACCGACGAAAAACAAUUACAAUGGUAUUUUAAUUACGCUGCGUUGGUCUCUUAUCAAAGCAAUCAGCAAUUACUUUGAACAAAACACGGUGUAUCUUGAUAGAGCUCCCCACGCUUCUGUUUACAGGUAUGCAACUACACUACGAAAUGAACUCAUUGAAAGAUAUCUAUUUAGAUCAAACUUGUGCAAUCAAUAUCAGACGAUAAAACAUUAUAUUAGACAAAAGCCUUGGCAUUUUAAGACAAUUACAAUGUAAAACAUUGGUCACAAAACAAGAAGUAAUAACCGGUAUGGAAAUAAUAUUAUAAUUUUAUUGGCAAACGUAGAAGAAAAUCUAUUGAUAUCUAACUUAGGUAUAGAAUAAAGAAGUUACACCAAGUAGGAUUUAUAAACCUAAACCUUUAGUUCGUAUAGAAUCAUCGGUGAUAAUUAUCAAACCCACACAACGUGCAGUUCCAAAGGAAUAACUGUAACAUGUUUUUACAGUCUUAUGCCAUUUUUUUGUAAAGAUAUUCACAAGCAGAGUUUUUACAGAAGAUAUAUCUCGUCUAAACUACAUACCAUUCUUUAGAAAGAUGGAAUGAAUCGUUCUCGUAAACUCCAUCAUCGCAAGCGACAUGUCCAAUACUUCAUGUUCCCUAUUAACUCUACUAAUCUGAAUGGAAAAGAUAUGCACUUUGACAUUUGAAUAUAACGUAUUCAUCAAGUUACCACUACGUCUAAAUUUUCGCUUUAAGCAAUGUCGUGGAAACAUUCAUGUCUACAAUUAAUGUUGCCCGGAAGAGAUCAAACUUAAGACCAAUCAAAGAAUUCAUAAUCCGGCUCUCAACCCACUGUAUCAUUUACUUUCG